rfam:Picoides pubescens contig56351, whole genome shotgun sequence.
AAGAAAGAAGCAUAAGUGGUUUAAUGCGGUUGGCUUGAAACCAAUGUAUGAGGGUUCAAUUCCUUCCUUUCUUG